AUAUGAUGACAAUAAAUGCUGUACUGUUAUCAGUGUUUAUUCGAGUAUUCAAAGGUAUGCUUAACCAUAAAGCAGUGUAGCGAAAAAUGGCGAAAGAAAAGCACUUGC
rnacentral:ncRNA from 1 species